GGAGCGAGCGCGGGAGAGUCGCGCGCGCGGGAGCCGGCGCAGCAAAUAAGGGGCGCGGGAUUGCGUUUCGGCCAGCGCGCUGAAAUGGAAAUGGCGCGCGCGCCGUUUUUACGCGCCUGCUGGAGCUGCCCGCAGCGUUGCGCGCGCGCUAAAACUGCCUUUUUUGCGGCGCGGUGCUUGUAUAGCGCGCCUGUUGGAGAUGCUCUAAGAGUUUGGUUUAUCAGUCCAGUUAGUAAAUUUGCAAUUGCUUAAUGAUAACGUGGAGCCAUUUGCAGAAUCUAAGUCGUUAUACAUACAGGGUAAGCCCAUUUAUAGGUCACUGGACAACUCCCUAUCAAUAUGGAAAAUAAUCUUUAAUCCUUAACAGAUAGCAAUUCCCCUAAAAAAGGCAAUUUACCCCUGCUUUCCUAUCAAUAUGAUUCUUAUACACUUGUGGUUGGAUAUCCUUAUUCACUUGGAUGCUGGGGCCAACUACCUUGUGCAUAGCGUGCACAUAUAAUCGCUGGUGCUCGACAUGCAGCUCAUCCUCGAGCUGAAGGGCGGCCAUGGCUAGGACCCUUUGUAGCCCCAUGUUGAGGAGAUGUUGCGAAAGCUCGCGCAAACAUGAAAAGUGAAGCUCCGAUAUUAGAUUUUAUGGGACAACUUGACUAACAAUUCUGACAAAUAUUAAAACAAUCUGGCUUAUUGAUUGCUUUUGUUUAACUGAUAACCCUAUGGGAGGCAUGACAGUAUAAUUUGUUAAUCACAAAAGGUACAAGGAAGGCUUAUACUACUACCUCCGUUCUAAAAUAUAUGACGUUUUGGUAGGCUAGUUUAGCCUACCAAAACGUCAUAUAUUUUAGAAUGGAGGUAGUAUAUACGAAAAGGACGUGUGAUAUACAAAAGAGAGGGGGAAACAUGAGAUAUACAAGGGACUGUAUGAGGUUUAUUGAUUUCUUGGUUACAAUGAACAUGAUGGUAGCCCCUUUAUUAUAUGCGGGCCUCCUCCCAAGCAAUAUUUAAGAUGAAAUAGAUCAAAUCCCUAACAAAUAGCAAUUAGUCCUCACUUUCCUAACAGUAAGAUCCUUAUCCAUAUGUGGUUGGAUUCUUGGAUGCAAGGGCUGGCUGCCUUGUGCAUAGCAUGCAAACAACAAAGAGUAGCGAGCGACUUUGGGAACAUUGAAGUUCACGCGCNNNNN
rnacentral:lncRNA from 1 species